rnacentral:rRNA from 1 species
GACGAACGCUGGCGGCGUGCUUAACACAGGCAAGUCGAGCGGUGAGGCACCUUCGGGAGUACACGAGCGGCGAACGGGCGAGUAACACGUGAGCAGUCGGCCCUGCUCAUCGGAAUUACCAUUGGAAACGAUGGCUAAUGCCGAAUACGACUUCAUUGCGCAUGUCAGGGAGGGGAAAGCUCCGGCGGAGAAGGAUGAGCUCGCGGCCUAUCAGCUUGUUGGUGAGGUAAUGGCUCACCAAGGCGACGACGGGUAGCCGGCCUGAGAGGGUGACCGGCCACACUGGGACCGAGACACGGCCCAGACCCCAACGGGAGGCAGCAGUGGGGAAUAUUGGCCAAUGGGCGAAAGCCUGAUCCAGCAACGCCGCGUGAGGGAUGACGGCCCUCGGGUUGUAAACCUCUUUCAGCAGGGACGAAGCGAAAGUGACGGUACCUGCAGAAGAAGGACCGGCCAACUACGUGCCAGCCGCCGCCGUAA